UGUCAUUAGGAAAUCUGAAGCUGUUACCUGCCUCUACAUGUUUUGAUGGGAUCCCAGGAAACUUCCCAAUCCUAGUCCAAUACCAUGAAUCCAUGACCCAAAAGAAUAUUAGUGCUGGCUUUCAAACCUGCUUCAUUGCUGAAAAACCGAUUUCUGCCUGUGGCAAUCCUACACCCAUUAUUUAAAAAAAAAAAAAGAAGCAUCCACUGGCCUUGUUUUGCACACCCCGUGAUAGGUGUUCAGCACCUCACAAUGUAGCCAACUGUGAAACAAUUCCUGGAGACUUUAUGGUUCUCCUGAAACUUUAUGGUUCUCCCACCCCCCUAAAAUCUGUCAAAGAUAACAUAUACAAGGUUGAGCAAAUACCUGAUUUUUUAAGUUUAAAUUGACAGCUAGACAACAGCACCACCUUAUUGUCUCUUUCCUUCCCCAAGAAUGCAGCCAAGAGAACCUAGAGGUGCCACGCUCCUUUGUGGCUGCCGGGCAAUCAUUCACCAGCCUGCCCUGGUCUCCAAGCUCCCUCCACAGUUCUGCCCAGGGGAACUCAGGCGUGUCAUUAGUGCUAACUGUUGUGGCUGCCAAGGAAACCUUCCCACAGUUUGCAAACAUGCUACCUACAUACCCGAGGCAAGGGAGCACUGGAACCCCCGACGGAGACGACAGGAACCCAGGGGCUCACCUGGAGCAGCCACAACCUCGGUCCCCCAAACCCUGCGUCUCGGGGCAGCCAAAGCAGAAGUGUUUGGGCGUUAAAGUGUUGGCGGCGGGGCAGAGCAACUGGAACUCCCGAGCCUCGCUGGUGGGAACGCAACGUGGUAUAGCCGCUGUGGAAGGCAGGAUGGUGGCUUCUCAGAAAAUUAAAAAGAGAUUGGGUA
rnacentral:lncRNA from 1 species